rnacentral:rRNA from 1 species
AUUGAACGCUGGCGGCAGGCCUAACACAUGCAAGUCGAGCGAGCGGCGGACGGGUGAGUAAUGUCUGGGAAACUGCCUGAUGGCGGGGGAUAACUACUGGAAACGGUCGCUAAUACCGCAUACCAUCAAAUGUGACAAGAUGGGAUUAGCUAGUAGGUGGGGUAACGGCUCACCUAGGCGACGAUCCCUAGCGGGUCUGAGAGGAUGACCAGCCACACUGGAACGGAGACACGGUCCAGACUCCGACGGGAGGCAGCAGUUGGGAGUAUUGCACAAUGGGCGCAAGCCUGAUGCAGCCAUGCCGCGUGUGGGAUGAAGGCCUUCGGGUUGUAAAGCACUUGCAGCGGGGAGGCGUUACCCGCAGUAGAAGCACCGGCUAACUCCGUGCCAGCAGCCGCGGUAAUAC